GACGAACGCUGGCGGCGUGCUUAACACAUGCAAGUCGAACGGAAAGGCCCUGCUUUUGUGGGGUGCUCGAGUGGCGAACGGGUGAGUAACACGUGAGUAACCUGCCCUUGACUUUGGUAUAACUUCAGGAAACUGGGGCUAAUACCGGAUAGGAGCUCCUGCUGCAUGGUGGGGGUUGGAAAGUUUCGGCGGUUGGGGAUGGACUCGCGGCUUAUCAGCUUGUUGGUGGGGUAGUGGCUUACCAAGGCUUUGACGGGUAGCCGGCCUGAGAGGGUGACCGGCCACAUUGGGACUGAGAUACGGCCCAGACUCCUACGGGAGGCAGCAGUGGGGAAUAUUGCACAAUGGGCGGAAGCCUGAUGCAGCAACGCCGCGUGCGGGAUGACGGCCUUCGGGUUGUAAAACGCUUUCGCCUGUGACGAAGCGUGAGUGACGGUAAUGGGUAAAGAAGCACCGGCUAACUACGUG
rnacentral:rRNA from 1 species